UGAUGAUCCACUCUGUGUUAAUAUAUGGAGAGGGUUUUUGUCUACACUUGAAGAAAAUGCAUCAAAUGAAAAUGACCAUGAAGAAGACCUACCUGUUACUCAUCUCCAGUUAUUGUUGUUGGUGUGGGGUAGUUUCUCUGAUAGUGUUAGGAAGGAGUUACUACUCAAGUGUGUAGCAGCUGUCAAUAAAGUGGCCGAAGAGAAAGAGUCAGGAUAUGUUGUUCCUCC